rnacentral:rRNA from 1 species
AUUGAACGCUGGCGGCAUGCCUUACACAUGCAAGUCGAACGGCAGCAUAGGAGCUUGCUCCUGAUGGCGAGUGGCGAACGGGUGAGUAAUAUAUCGGAACGUGCCCUAGAGUGGGGGAUAACUAGUCGAAAGAUUAGCUAAUACCGCAUACGAUCUAAGGGUGAAAGUGGGGGAUCGCAAGACCUCAUGCUCGUGGAGCGGCCGAUAUCUGAUUAGCUAGUUGGUGGGGUAAAAGCUCACCAAGGCGACGAUCAGUAGCUGGUCUGAGAGGACGACCAGCCACACUGGGACUGAGACACGGCCCAGACUCCUACGGGAGGCAGCAGUGGGGAAUUUUGGACAAUGGGGGCAACCCUGAUCCAGCAAUGCCGCGUGAGUGAAGAAGGCCUUCGGGUUGUAAAGCUCUUUUGUCAGGGAAGAAACGGUGAGAGCUAAUAUCUCUUGCUAAUGACGGUACCUGAAGAAUAAGCACCGGCUAACUACGUGCCAGCCGCCGCGGUAA